CGCAAGAUUAAAACUCAAAUGAAUUGACGGGGGCCCGCACAAGCGGUGGAGCAUGUGGUUUAAUUCGAUGCAACGCGAAGAACCUUACCUACUCUUGACAUCCAGAGAAUCUUUCAAGAGAUGGAUUGGUGCCUUCGGGAACUCUGAGACAGGUGCUGCAUGGCUGUCGUCAGCUCGUGUUGUGAAAUGUUGGGUUAAGUCCCGCAACGAGCGCAACCCUUAUCCUUGUUUGCCAGCGAGUAAUGUCGGGAACUCCAGGGAGACUGCCGGUGAUAAACCGGAGGAAGGUGGGGACGACGUCAAGUCAUCAUGGCCCUUACGAGUAGGGCUACACACGUGCUACAAUGGCGCAUACAGAGGGCAGCCAACUUGCGAAAGUGAGCGAAUCCCAAAAAGUGCGUCGUAGUCCGGAUUGGAGUCUGCAACUCGACUCCAUGAAGUCGGAAUCGCUAGUAAUCGUGGAUCAGAAUGCCACGGUGAAUACGUUCCCGGGCCUUGUACACACCGCCCGUCACACCAUGGGAGUGGGCUGCAAAAGAAGUAGGUAGUUUAACCUUCGGGGGGACGCUUA
rnacentral:rRNA from 1 species